AGCGAACGCUAGCGGCGGGCCUAACACAUACAAGUCGAGCGGGGGAGCAAUCUCCAGCGGCGGACGGGUGAGUAACACGUAGGUGAUGUACCUUCGGGUGGGGAAUAACCGUGGGAAACCAUGGCUAAUACCGCAUAUCAUGUGCAAACAUGAAAGUCUUCGGACGCCAGAAGAGCAGCCUGCGGCCCAUUAGGUAGUUGGUAGGGUAAUGGCCUACCAAGCCAAUGAUGGGUAGCUGGUCUGAGAGGAUGACCAGCCACACUGGAACUGAGACACGGUCCAGACUCCUACGGGAGGCAGCAGUGGGGAAUAUUGCGCAAUGGGCGAAAGCCUGAUCCAGCCAUGCCGCGUGCAGGAUGAAGGCCUUCGGGUUGUAAACUGCUUUUGUACGGAACGAAAAGGUUUGGGCUAAUAAGCUGAGCUCAUGACGGUACCGUAAGAAUAAGCACCGGCUAACUACGUGCCAGC
rnacentral:rRNA from 1 species